GACGAACCGUGCGAACGUUAUUCGGAAUCACUGGGCUUAAAGGGCGCGUAGGCGGUCUGGAAAGUUGGGUGUGAAAUCCCUCGGCUCAACCGAGGAACUGCGCUUGAAACUACCAGACUCGAGGGAGAUAGAGGAAAGCGGAACUGAUGGUGGAGCGGUGAAAUGCGUUGAUAUCAUCAGGAACACCGGUGGCGAAGGCGGCUUUCUGGGUCUUACCUGACGCUGAGGAACGAAAGCCAGGGGAGCGAACGGG
rnacentral:rRNA from 1 species